rnacentral:rRNA from 1 species
UAGGGAAUCUUCGGCAAUGGGGGCAACCCUGACCGAGCAACGCCGCGUGAGUGAAGAAGGUUUUCGGAUCGUAAAGCUCUGUUGUAAGUCAAGAACGAGUGUGAGAGUGGAAAGUUCACACUGUGACGGUAGCUUACCAGAAAGGGACGGCUAACUACGUGCCAGCAGCCGCGGUAAUACGUAGGUCCCGAGCGUUGUCCGGAUUUAUUGGGCGUAAAGCGAGCGCAGGCGGUUUGAUAAGUCUGAAGUUAAAGGCUGUGGCUCAACCAUAGUUCGCUUUGGAAACUGUCAAACUUGAGUGCAGAAGGGGAGAGUGGAAUUCCAUGUGUAGCGGUGAAAUGCGUAGAUAUAUGGAGGAACACCGGUGGCGAGAGCGGCUCUCUGGUCUGUAACUGACGCUGAGGCUCGAAAGCGUGGGGAGCGAACAGGAUUAGAUACCCUGGUAGUCCACGCCGUAAACGAUGAGUGCUAGGUGUUGGAUCCUUUCCGGGAUUCAGUGCCGCAGCUAACGCAUUAAGCACUCCGCCUGGGGAGUACGACCGCAAGGUUG